ACGGUAAUAUAUUUAAAAUUUGAAGCAUUUUAUCUUUGUUAUGUCAGCUGU
rnacentral:pre_miRNA from 1 species